GGUGUUAUGUAAACUGGUUGAUGGAUUGCAAAUCCACCAUCCCCGGUUCGAAUCCGGGCGGCGCCU
rnacentral:tRNA from 2 species